UCGCUGAGGGACAGAAAGACGAGGGAUAGAAAUACACAAACCUCUCCUGACUGCAGCAGACUCCCUCUCUCCCUUGCCUCUUAAAUGUUCGCCUGUUCCAGCUCUCCACGCUGCCUCUUUCCUCACUGUAAUCAGCUGUCAGCUAGACUUGAUGUUGUAAAAUCCAUGUGAGGAGGAAAGACAGAUGCAAUGAUUUGAAAGAUCUUCAUCAGUUUUUGCCUUCUUGAAGAAUGCAGUGAAACCAUUUGCCAGCAUUAUUAUCUGGAAUUAUAGGUUUAAUAUCCAACAUCAGUGUUACUAAUUUCUUAUUAAAUAGUACCUCACAGUAGUAGAAAAAUGUAUGGAAGUGCAAGAACAAUCAGUAAUUUGGAAGGCAGUCCUUCCAGGUCUCCUCGUUUGCCAAGAUCUCCUCGUCUGGGCCACAGGAGAACAAGCAGCGGGGGAGGUGGAGGAACGGGUAAGACACUAUCAAUGGAGAACAUCCAGUCCCUUAAUGCAGCCUAUGCAACAUCUGGACCGAUGUAUCUUAGUGACCAUGAAGGUGUAGCAUCUACUACUUUCCCAAAGGGCACAAUGACUCUUGGAAGGGCUACAAAUCGAGCUGUGUAUGGUGGUCGAGUCACAGCCAUGGGGAGUAGUCCAAAUAUUGCUUCAGCUGGACUUUCUCACACAGAUGUCCUUUCUUAUACUGAUCAGCAUGGAGGUCUGACCACAUCUUCACAUCAUCAUCAUCAUCAAGUUCCCUCUAUGCUGAGACAGGUAAGGGAUAGUACCAUGCUAGAUCUACAGGCUCAGCUCAAGGAACUACAAAGAGAGAAUGAUCUUCUGAGAAAAGAACUGGAUAUCAAGGACAGUAAGCUGGGAUCUUCCAUGAAUAGCAUCAAGACUUUCUGGAGUCCUGAGCUAAAAAAGGAAAGAGUCUUGAGAAAAGAAGAAGCUGCCAGAAUGUCAGUUCUUAAAGAGCAGAUGAGGGUUUCUCAUGAAGAGAACCAGCAUUUGCAACUGACCAUCCAGGCACUUCAAGAUGAGCUUCGGACUCAGAGAGACCUUAAUCAUCUUCUUCAACAAGAAAGCGGAAACCGAGGAACUGAGCAUUUUACUAUUGAGCUUACAGAGGAGAAUUUUCGAAGACUUCAGGCAGAACAUGAUAGACAGGCUAAAGAGCUCUUUCUCUUGAGAAAAACUCUAGAAGAAAUGGAGUUGAGAAUUGAAACACAAAAGCAAACACUAAAUGCCAGAGAUGAAUCAAUAAAAAAGCUUCUAGAAAUGUUGCAAAGUAAAGGUUUGCCAUCCAAAGGAAUGGAAGAUGACAACGAAAGAGCUCGAAGGAUGGCUGAGGCUGAAUCUCAGGUUAAUCAUUUAGAAGUGAUUUUAGACCAGAAGGAGAAGGAAAACAUACAUCUUAGAGAGGAACUACACAGAAGAACCCAACUUCAGCCUGAACCAGCAAAGACAAAAGCUCUUCAGACAGUUAUAGAGAUGAAGGACACAAAAAUAGCUUCACUUGAACGCAAUAUAAGGGAUCUCGAAGAUGAAAUACAGAUGUUAAAGACAAAUGGAGUUCUGAAUAUAGAGGACCGAGAAGAAGAGAUCAAACAAAUAGAAGUUUACAAGAGUCACUCAAAGUUCAUGAAAAAUAAGAUUGACCAAUUGAAACAGGAACUUUCAAAGAAAGAAUCAGAACUUCUCGCCUUACAAACUAAGCUUGAAACCCUUAGCAAUCAGAAUUCGGAUUGCAAGCAACACAUUGAAGUGCUUAAAGAGUCGCUUACUGCCAAAGAACAGAGAGCUGCCAUACUUCAGACAGAGGUUGAUGCCUUGAGAUUACGACUGGAAGAAAAAGAAACUUUUCUUAAUAAAAAAACAAAACAACUGCAAGACCUCACAGAAGAGAAGGGAACCUUGGCUGGAGAGAUUCGAGACAUGAAAGAUAUGUUAGAAGUAAAGGAAAGAAAAAUCAAUGUCCUUCAGAAAAAGAUUGAAAAUCUACAGGAGCAACUUAGGGACAAAGAUAAACAGCUAAGCAAUUUAAAAGACAGAGUGAAAUCAUUGCAGACGGAUUCCAGUAACACGGACACAGCUCUAGCAACAUUAGAAGAAGCUCUGUCAGAGAAGGAGAGAAUAAUAGAGCGCUUGAAGGAGCAGAGGGAACGGGAUGACCGAGAGAGACUGGAAGAAAUAGAAUCCUUUAAAAAGGAAAACAAAGACUUGAAGGAGAAAGUUAAUGCUUUACAAGCUGAACUAACAGAGAAGGAGUCUAAUUUAAUUGACCUCAAAGAACAUGCAUCAUCAUUGGCAUCAACAGGGCUGAAAAGAGACUCCAAAUUAAAAUCUUUAGAAAUAGCCAUAGAACAAAAGAAAGAAGAAUGUAGUAAGUUGGAAGCACAGCUGAAAAAGCAAGCUGAACAGUUGUUCAAUCAGAUGUACAAUCCAGCUCAUGAAGCUGAAGAAGAAGCUCGGCUGAACCCAGAAUUUGCAGACAGAAUGAAACAGCUUGACAAAGAGGCAUCUUACUACAGAGAUGAAUGUGGCAAAGCUCAAGCUGAGGUUGACAGACUUCUAGAAAUCCUCAAGGAAGUGGAGAAUGAGAAGAAUGACAAAGAUAAGAAAAUUGCUGAGCUAGAAAGACAUAUGAAAGAUCAAAACAAGAAAGUGGCCAAUCUGAAGCACAAUCAACAAAUGGAAAAAAAGAAGAAUGCUCAGUUGCUGGAAGAAGUUCGUAGGCGAGAAGACAAUAUGACAGACAACUCUCAGCACUUGCAGUUAGAAGAACUGAUGAAUGCACUGGAAAAGACCAGACAAGAAUUGGAUGCUACCAAAGCCCGUCUUGCCUCAACACAGCAGUCUCUGGCUGAGAAAGAAGCACAUCUGGCUAACCUCAGAAUAGAGCGGAGAAAACAGCUUGAAGAAAUAUUAGAAAUGAAGCAGGAAGCACUGCUUGCUGCAAUCAGUGAAAAAGAUGCAAACAUUGCCUUGCUUGAACUGUCUGCUUCAAAGAAGAAGAAGACUCAAGAGGAAGUAAUGGCUCUUAAACGAGAGAAAGACAGAUUAGUGCAUCAGUUAAAACAGCAGACACAGAACAGAAUGAAACUGAUGGCAGACAACUAUGAUGAUGACCAUCACCACUUCCACCACCACCACCAUCACCACCAUCACCGGUCUCCUGGGAGGACCCAGCACUCAAAUCACCGACCCUCUCCAGAUCAGGAUGAUGAGGAGGGUAUAUGGGCAUAGCCAUUCCUAUAAACGAAAGUUCCAGUUUUAUUCUGAGGGAUGAUCCAGUCACUGUUGGAGGCACAUAGCCAUGGCAAAUCUCACGCUGUACAUUGAUCACCUGUCCAACCUUUGCCUAGAGUGUGAUCCCCAGUUCCUUCAAGAGUUCCAUCUUUACCUGUCUAUAAAGAGGAGGAGGAGGAGGAGGAGAGACAUCUGGGAUAACCACAUAUCAAAGAUUAACACCAGAGCAGUUGCCAGAGGAGCUGGAGAAAGAGGAGGAAAAAAUGCAGCACUGCAGAAUUAAGCUGAUAAUCUAUUGCAGUGGAUCUCCAAACAUAACCAUGACAUCCUGGAGCAGAUCAUAGAAACAGAAGAUGAAUGCUGAGGUUGUUAACAGAUGAAAUGCUGCAUAAAUUGGUGUCUUCUCCAUUAUUUCUUGUAGUCAUUAUGAAGUCAGAUACUCUGGAAAAUAAUGAAGGGGACUCAAUCAGAAAUUACAAGAACUUCAUUUCCACCUUUAAUGGGUCUUGUGUUCAGAAUAUUAUUAUUUAUUGAAGUUCAGUUAAAUGGAUUCUUUUAACCAAUUUUGAUAAAUUGGUAUUGAUUUUUAAUGUGUAAUUCAGGUUCUGUUAGGUGCAGUAUCUUCAUCUGCUGAUUCUGCCUAGCGUAUUCUACAGUAACACUUCUAAAGUGGACUAGAUUGUCAAAGAGGUAUUAGUACACUGUUAUAUAAUGGAGUCUGCAUUAAUCUCACCCCCAGUUAGAAGUGGGCUUUUCAGAAAAGUAAAAACUAUGCCUUUACCCUCCUCUGUUUUCUUAUAUCUACCGUUACUCAAAUAAUCACAUUUUGAUAGUGUAACGAGUAUUAAGCUCUGGGCCAGGUUGGAAAUGAAAUCAAUUUUUGGUACUACUUGCUGUUGGCAAGGAUUAGCCUUAUGAAAAUAUGGUGUGUGUCUCUGACAAUGCAUGGGACAUCUAAAUUGAUCAUCAAUAAUUUACAUACCACAUUUAUAUAUUAGUGGAUGGUAAAAGCUUGAGGUAUGUAUAUGUACAUAUGUGUAUACAUGCACACAUAUACUGGAGUGGAUCAACCUUUUAUCAUCCAAAUGCAUAUAGGUAUGUAUUAAUAAAAGCUGGGACUCAUAAAUAUAUCAAGAUAAGAAUGCUUUGAAUACAGUAUAUGCAUUAGGCCUCCUAAAAAUGAAGGACCAUUUGUCAUUGUUUUCUGUAGUGAAAAAACAGCCUCCAUGAUGGAUCCCAAUGAAUUUUUGAUGUUAAACAAGAAAAUAUCAAUGAAUGAGGAGAAAUUAAAAGCUGUCUGUAUCAACAAAGAAUUUCAAAUAAAGAUGAAUAAUUUAAAGCACAUGCCAGGAAAAAGAAAAAAUCUGAAGUCAUUCUAAUGUAGUGAUGAGACACAAAUGAGAGUUAAAGCUCUACCACUUCCUCAAAGAGAGGAUCCUUACAACUUCAUAACCAUUUUCAGUCAGUCUGGCAAACAUGUGCAAAUGUUCAGCUGUUUUACUGAUGCAUCUCUCUUUUUGUCAAUGGAAGAAGUACUUCUAUACUGACGUGAGUGGCAAUUGAAUAUUUGCAUUAUUAAAGGACAAACAAUGAAUUUAAGCAUGGGUGGCCUUAAUUCUUAGUAGUUUUUCUUUGCUGCUGUAAAAAAAAAAGGAUUCUAAAGUGGUUAUUCCAAAAGUCUUGCACUGAAUUUAGAAAAAUAUUAUUUUUUGAAAUUGUUGGUGCAAUUAUCCCUGAAGUAACAUCCUAUGUGAGCCAUACCUAUAUUAACCCCUUUAAAAUGAUUGCUGUGUAGAAAACAGUAUUUUAUUGUACCAUCAUUUUUGGUGCAAAUAAAGAGCAACUAAGUCAAGCAGGAGUCCUUCUUGAUGUUUCAUCUCAGUAAAUAGAGUAAAAUGUAUAGAAUUAGUAUAGCAUAGGUGAUCCAAAUUCAUUCAUGUUUAAAAAGUUUGUCCUUUAACUAUCAAUGGAAUUUUAGAUCUUUGUUUUCAAAACAGCAAAGCUCUUGGGAGUUUAUUUAGCACAUAUGACAAAUGUUGCACUUGCAAACUCAGACAACAGAACUAGUUUCUUGUGAUGAACUUGUUGUCAUAGUAAGGGACAACUGUCUGUGUCUCUUACAAUCAGGUCUUUACCUUAACUCUGCAACUGAAUACUUGAAGUAGGAAAUAAACUAGGUGAAAAUAGGGUCAUAAAAACAAAACUGUAUAGUUAAAUAUUUAUAUGUAUGUGCCAAUUUUGUCACAGACAUUAUUUUAGGAGCACUUUUUGCUCCAUUCAUAUUGUAAGAGUAUUGAUCUAAACUUUUAUCAGGGGCUAUGAGUUAGCCCCUAAAGAAAAAAAUGUUUGUCUAACAUUUGGUUUUUUUCAUUUCAUGUGAUAUCUAUGAUGUUUGGAGAAAAAUCUUUUCAUAUACUGAAAUAGACUCUCGGGGUUUACAAUAAACACUGUGAUGUUGGGAAAAUAUUUUAUUUCAGCAAUGUUUGGUAGUUCCCCCACUCCCUUCUAAAUGUAAGAAAUUAAAUCAACUUUUGGCUAACAUUUAAGAUAAAUAAUUAUUAUUUUAGUGUGGAAUCAGGCUUGUACUGCACAAUCUUUCUUUCAUUUAAAUGUACAGUAUGAAUUUUGUAUUUAAUGAUUUUUGUGUAUCUAGUAUGCACGUAACUGCACAUUGACUUUCAUUUGAAAGUGGGUUUAAAUUUCCUUUUUCAACAGUGUUUAUGAAAAGACCUCAGAUGUGUUGACACAAACUAUAUCUGCAAUGUGUGUGGGGGGGAGGGUUGUUUUUUGUUUUUUUGUGUAGAGUGAUGUUUGAAUGUGAUGUUCUGCAACAAUGGGUCAGUAUUCUCUAUUUACCUUAACCCCUCAUUUGAUAGUGCUUCAUGUAAUAAUUUCCUCAAGUGAGUGGCAUGUUCUGGAUUGUGAUAUUGAUAUGUGGUUAAGGACAUUGAUAUGAAACUAAGGAAUCCUUAGAAAUUACCAGUGGGCAUGUAUUAGACAGUCAUUGUAAUUUAAUGUCUAGUAAAAGUGUGAAGUACCAAGGUAUUUAGAGAUCAUAACAUUAUUAUCAUGUGUAUGGGAAGUACUUACUGUUGAUCAGCUUGUUUCUAUUCAUCAAAUAAACUGUUUCUUUCUGAAA